rnacentral:sRNA from 1 species
GCUGGACGUGGUGGCUCAUGCCUGUAAUCCCAGCAGCUGGGGAGGCUGAGGCAGGAGAAUUGCGAGUUCAAAGCCAGGUUUAGCAAAAGUGUGGUGCUAAGCAACUCAGUGAGACCCUGUCUCUA